rnacentral:tRNA from 1 species
GAUGUGGCUCAGUGGAAGAGUAUCCGCUCGGCAUGCAGAAGGUCCCAAGUUCAAUCCCUGCUAUCUCCA